UUUCAAUGGCCGAAUAUUUUUAAGGGAUCUCUAGACUUCAAAAAUGAAGACACUGACUUAUCUUUCAUGUUCAUUACUGGAUAAGAGCCUCUGUCCUUUCAGGGACCAAUGACCCACAUUUCUGAAAUAUUAUCUGGGAUUGGGAUGUGAUGAACAAAACCAUAAGACACACAGAGUCUGACCAAGAGCCCAUCCCUCCCAGCACUCUCUAUUUCUGAUGGAGAAACCAGUGGUGGCUUUUCUACUUGACUUUGUCCCUAGACGCUGGUGAGUGUUCUAGCAUGCUUGGCUGAGCAUGGGUACUAA
rnacentral:lncRNA from 1 species